CAGUAGCCGCGGUAAUACGGAGGGUGCAAGCGUUACUCGGAAUCACUGGGCGUAAAGGACGCGUAGGCGGAUUAUCAAGUCUCUUGUGAAAUCUAACGGCUCAACCGUUAAACUGCUUGGGAAACUGAUAAUCUAGAGUAAGGGAGAGGCAGAUGGAAUUCUUGGUGUAGGGGUAAAAUCCGUAGAUAUCAAGAAGAAUACCUAUUGCGAAGGCGAUCUGCUGGAACUUAACUGACGCUGAGGAGCGAAAGCGUGGGGAGCGAACAGGAUUAGAGACCCCCGUAGUCCCUGUCUCUUAUAC
rnacentral:rRNA from 1 species